CGUAGGGUGCGAGCGUUAAUCGGAAUUACUGGGCGUAAAGCGUGCGCAGGCGGUUAUAUAAGUCAGAUGUGAAAUCCCCGGGCUCAACCUGGGACCUGCAUUUGAGACUGUAUAGCUAGAGUACGGUAGAGGGGGAUGGAAUUCCGCGUGUAGCAGUGGAAAUGCGUAGAUAUGCGGAGGAACACCGAUGGCGAAGGCAAUCCCCUGGACCUGUACUGACGCUCACUGCACGAAAGCGUGGGGAGCAAACAGGAUUAGAUACCCUGGUAGUCCACGCCCUAAACGAUGUCAACUGGUUGUUGGGAAUUCACUUCUCAGUAACGAAGCUAACGCGUGAAGUUGACCGCCUGGGGAGUACGGCCGCAAGGUUG
rnacentral:rRNA from 1 species